AAAGGAAUUGACGGGGGCCCGCACAAGCAGUGGAGCAUGUGGUUUAAUUCGAAGCAACGCGAAGAACCUUACCAGGUCUUGACAUCCCAUUGACCGGUAUAGAGAUAUACCUUUCCCUUCGGGGACAAUGGUGACAGGUGGUGCAUGGUUGUCGUCAGCUCGUGUCGUGAGAUGUUGGGUUAAGUCCCGCAACGAGCGCAACCCUUGAUCUUAGUUGCCAGCAUUCAGUUGGGCACUCUAAGGUGACUGCCAGUGACAAACUGGAGGAAGGUGGGGAUGACGUCAAAUCAUCAUGCCCCUUAUGACCUGGGCUACACACGUGCUACAAUGGAUGGUACAAAGGGCUGCGAGACCGCGAGGUUAAGCGAAUCCCAUAAAGCCAUUCUCAGUUCGGAUUGCAGGCUGCAACUCGCCUGCAUGAAGCCGGAAUUGCUAGUAAUCGUGGAUCAGCAUGCCACGGUGAAUACGUUCCCGGGCCUUGUACACACCGCCCGU
rnacentral:rRNA from 1 species